rnacentral:rRNA from 1 species
UACGGAGGAUCCAAGCGUUAUCCGGAUUUAUUGGGUUUAAAGGGUGCGUAGGCGGGUUAUUAAGUCAGUGGUGAAAGCCUUCAGCUUAACUGAAGAAUUGCCAUUGAUACUGAUGAUCUUGAGUAUGAUUGAGGUUGGCGGAAUGUGUCAUGUAGCGGUGAAAUGCUUAGAUAUGACACAGAACACCGAUUGCGAAGGCAGCUAACUAAGCCAUAACUGACGCUGAUGCACGAAAGCGUGGGGAGCAAACAGG